UGUGGAGUCGUUGUUGAAAUACCACUCUGAUCGUAUUGGGCCUCUAACCUCGAACCGUCUAUCCGGUUCAGGGACAGUGCCUGGUGGGUAGUUUAACUGGGGCGGUUGCUCCUAAAAAGUAACGGAGCGCCCAAAGGUUCCCUCAACCUGGACGGCAAUCAGGUGUUGAGUGUAAGUGCACAAGGGAGCUUGACUGCGAGACUGACACGUCAAGCAGGGACGAAAGUCGGGACUA
rnacentral:rRNA from 1 species